UACGAGAGGCCCAAACGUUAUUCGGAUUUACUGGGCUUAAAGAGUUCGUAGGCGGCGCGGAAAGUAGGGUGUGAAAGCCCUCGGCUCAACCGAGGAAUUGCGCUCUAAACUGUCGCGCUCGAGGAACCUAGAGGUGAGCGGAACUGAUGGUGGAGCGGUGAAAUGCGUUGAUAUCAUCAGGAACACCGGAGGCGAAGGCGGCUCACUGGGGGUUAUCUGACGCUGAGGAACGAAAGCCAGGGGAGCAAACGGG
rnacentral:rRNA from 1 species